rnacentral:rRNA from 1 species
CCCAUAAGAGGGGGAUAACAUCCGGAAACGGGUGCUAAUACCGCAUAGUUUUCUUGAUCGCAUGAUUGAGAAAGGAAAGACGGCCUUUGUGCUGUCGCUUAUGGAUGGACCCGCGGCGUAGUUAGUUAGUUGGUGAGGUAACGGCUCACCAAGACGAUGAUACGUAGCCGACCUGAGAGGGUGAUCGGCCACAUUGGGACUGAGACACGGCCCAAACUCCUACGGGAAGGCAGCAGUAGGGGAAUCUUCCGCAAUGGACGAAAAGUCUGACGGAGCAACGCCGCGUGAGUGAAAGAAGGUUUUCGGAUCGUAAAACUCUGUUGUCAGAGAAGAACAAGUUGGAGAGUAACUGCUCCAGCCUUGACGGUAUCUGACCAGAAAGCCACGGCUAACUACGUGCCAGCCGCCGC